UAAAAGCUUCUCUGAGCCCUUUGUCGGUCCUGCAUAGGGUAAGGGAUUCUAGAAAAGAAAGAAGAAAAGUGGGCUGAGAGACAAGCUGGUGUCACUCUCUCUUCUAGGAACCAGGGAGACAGCCGGCAGGAGUGCCCCGUGUGGCAGAGGAGAGGGCUCAUGGAAAGGUCCAAACGUCUCCAGUUUGAGAUCUCAGCAUCUCCAGCAUUGAGAGCGAUCUCUGGGAGGCAGAAGAUGACUAAGGUUAUUCUGCCUGGAGACCUAUGACACUUGCCAAUUUCUGUUUCCGUUGGGUAUGCUUUCUAGAGAAGUUAAUUAGAGGAAGUUUACUUUCACAGAGGAGCCCGAAGGUACCCAGAGUUCUCCCUCAACUCCAAGAGGUCCAGAGGCGCCAGAUCACCGGGGCCCAAAACCUCCACCUGCUCCUCUGAUGCUGGUCCUGACAGAGACCCAGGUAUGAAGGCCUUCUUGAAGAUCCUCUGUAGGGGAGGUCUUGUGGCUACAAACUCCCUUAGCUUUGGCUUAUCUGGGAAAGUUGUUAUUUCUCCAUCAUAUCUGAAGUCUAUUUUCACUGAAUAGAGUAUUCUUGGCUGAAAGAUUUUGUCCUUCAAAGAUUUGAAUAUGUCAUUCCAGUCUUUCCUAGCCUGUAAGUUUUCUGCAGAGAAAUCUGGUGAAAGUCUGAUAGAGGUUUCUUUGUAGGUUAUGUUCUUCUGCCUUGCUGCCCUUAGUAUUUUUUCUUUGUCAUUGACUUUUGCCAGUUUCACUACUAUAUGCCUUGCAGUAGGUCUUUUUACACUGGCAUAUUUAGAAGAUCUGAUAGGCUCUUUCAUGUGGAUUUCCAUCUCCUUCCCCAGGUUUGGGAAGUUCUCUGCUAUUAUUACUUUGAACAAGCUUUCUGUUCCAUUCUCCUUCUUUUCUCUCUCUUGAAUAUCUAUAAUUCUUAUGUUGCAUUUCCUAAUUGAGUUGGAUAUUUCUCAGAGAUUUUCUUCAUUUCUUUUUAGUCUUAGUUCUCUCUACUCCUCUGUCUGGAGCAUUUCAAUAUGUCUAUCCUUGAUUAUGCUGAUUCACUCCACUAUGAUGUUGCUCAAACAUUCAGAGAAUCCAAAUUUUGUUUUAUCUCAUCGAUUGUGUCUUUCAUCUCUAAUAUUUCUGAUUGGUUCUUCUUUAUAGUUUCAAUCUCUUUUGUGAAGUAGCUCCUGAACUCGUUGAAUUGUUUCUCUACAUUUUUUUGUAACUCAUUGAGUUUUUUGAUGAUAGCUAUUUUGAAGUCUCUGUCAUUUAGAUUACAUAUUUCUGUGUCUUCAGGACUGAUUUCUGGGUACUUGUCAUUUUCUCUCUGGUCUGGAGAUGUAAUAUAAUUUUUGAUUCUGCUAGAGGGCGUGGCAUUGUUCUUUCACAUCAUGGUAUUAUUUGGUCACACUUACUGCUUACCACUGGGUGGGGGUCAAGAACUGCAUUUUCUGAGCCCUCUGACUUCUGCCAGGAUCCCAGGUGCUGGAGCUGGUGCUAGGUGGGGAGGGGGAGGGGUGCUUUCUUCAUUGUUCUCUUGGGGUUUUCUCACUCUGCCCUCGAUAUCUGCUCUCCUGGGGUAUUGGCUUGAUGAAGUCACCCCUGUGAUAGCUUUCACCUGGGUAGGGAGCUUUCCCCUAGGCUGCAAAGGACCUUGGGGAACUUUGAUGUUCCUGCAAAUGGGCAUCCCCUCCCCUUUUCCUUCCCUCUUGGAGACUGCACAGUCCCAGAUCACAGUCUUUUGGGGAGGGAGCGAAGUUUUCUCUUACCCCAUUCCACCUCCUCCAAGGGGGACUCCAGCCUCUCCACCCUCCCAUGUAUGAUUGUGUUGGUCUUUUGUGUUGUGUGGAUGUCCUCUGCUGGAGGAUAAAUGUCUUUUUCACUGUGUCAUGGAGGGAAGAGAUCACUGGGAGAGCUCACUUAACCAUGAUGCUGAUGUCACUCUCUGGGUAAAAUUUUUAAAGUAAUGUUCUGUAAAGUCUGUAACACAUAUAGAAGUAACUGUGUAUGAAUACAACCCAAAAAAUCUAAUGGUACUGCCUAAAUAUUUUUCAUUUGUCUUAUUAAUAAAUGUUAAUACAAAUUUGGGAAGAUUUUAUUAUUUCAAAUAACUGAAAGUAUUUAAUAAUGUUAAUUUCAUAUUUUCUUCAUUGUUG
rnacentral:lncRNA from 1 species